AAAGGCUUGAAGCUGGAGCUUGACAUUUGUCAGAGAGGUUACAAUCCUCUAGAAGAAAGGUGAACAUGGCCUAAGCCGGCCUAGGCUGGGGAGGUAGAGAAAACUAGUCGGACUAGAGAGAUUUUAGGAGAAAGGAUCUAUUGGACCUGGUAAUGGCUGUUUCUCUUGUCUUAUGGGACUGAGUCGGGAGAAGCGCAGACAGGAAGGUGAUUUCUUUUACCAAGUGAAUGACGACACUGUACUGCACUACAUCUGCUUUGUAAAUCUCUCUUUUCACCCUCAGCAUGCUUGUUUAUAGCCAGGAAAAUAUCCCAUGUGCAGUAGCUUUGAUGCAACUGAAUCUUUUUAUACCAAUAAAUUCCUUCCUCUGUCUCGUUCAGACAGACUUGCGGCUGCUGCUGCUGCUUAGAGAGAUUCCUCCACCCGACGCCCUUUUAAGCCACAAUCGGAAGCUCCUUUAGCCUUCACACACAGUAAUGGGAUGGCAGAAAGCAAACACCAGCUCGUUCGCUGGGCGAUCAGGCCUCCUUUAUGCAGCAGCUUCGGCGUUGGGCAUUGGAGGUUUUCCAGAAUGAAUAAUGCACUGCUCUUGAGCUCACAGAGCCAUAGAAAAGACGACUGCAGUGUGAAAAGUGACAUCCUAAGGCAGGAACAAAUUCCUGGGAGUGCAAAAUGGAGAGCCUGAAGCCCGGAGCCUGGGGCUGGGAAGAGUAUAGAAGUUUCCAGAAAGAGGAAGCAGUGACACUGUGCCUUGAAGAGCCUGCCGUAAUUGCUCAGCUGGAGGAGAGCAGGAAUGAGUAGGUGGGUCGUCCAACACCAGGAACACAAGUGUCAAAGUGUGAAAGCAGAGGGAAGAUGGGGACAGUGAAUAGAUGACAUGGUUGCCAUGGUUUGCGUGUGUCCCCAAAGGUUCAUGUGUAGAAGCUUGGCUCCCCAGUGUGGCAAUGUGGAGAGGUGGUGGGUCUUUAAGAGGCGGAGCCGAGGGAGGCAAUGAGGGCAUAAGGGGACUGCCCAGAAAGGGG
rnacentral:lncRNA from 1 species